UGUGAGCACCCAGAACACCUGCAUCUCCAGGGCUGAUGGUGAGUGUGAGAAUGGGUCCAGAAAAAGAAGACAUCCUGGGGGAGAAUAUGGGAAGAGAGAAAAGCAGUUUUCCCCCCUGAAUUCCCAAUGUCCAUCUCUGGAGUGCUGAUUGUCUGUGCCUUGUGAUUCAAUGUGUUUUUCAACCAAUGAGGUGGUGGAAUCCCUGUGCCAUCUCUCCAGGUACUCUCCAGGCUCCAGUCCUGUUCCUUAACGCAUCCAGUGCUCAGGAAGGAGAAGUUGUCCUGGCUCGAUGUGUCUUUCAGAAACAGUUUCCUGCUACCCGAAUUGUCUUGUGCAAGGAUGGGUUGGAGGUGUACAGUGUGAAGGUCCAAGAGGGAACGGUCAUGAGCUCCAUGCUGCUGAACAUCACUGAGAGAAGUGCGGGGACAUACACAUGUUUCUACCAGCAGAGGAGCACGAAAAACAGGCUGAGGAGCUCUCCCCUCAGCGCUCCCUUGGACCUGCAGGUCACAGACCCUGACAUCCAGUGGGACUCCACAGUCACUGUGGUGGCAUCGAUGGCUGUCACCCUCCUUCUUUCUGCAGCCACCUUCUGGACCAUCAAGAAAGGUGCCUGCAGGGAGAGAUGCCGAAGGCAGCAGCACGUUCCCAGCCAGCAAAUGGAAGCCACCGACUACGGAGAAAUACAGUAUGCCACCGUUGUCCACUUUCAAAGGGACAAGAAAAAUGGCAAAUCAUGAGAUACUUUUUCUAGCCACAAAUCAUGCUUUCCUCUCUGAUUUCUGCAAACGCUUCCCCUUGUUGUGCAGAACUGCAGCCCCUUUUUGCUGCUGCCAAAAUUGUGUGGUUUAUCCUCAGAAGCUCCAUAAAUCGUUCUAUCCGAAGAGCUGGAAGAACAUAUUUGAGUGUUUUAAAAAGUGUGGAGGGAGAAAAUCUCACCAACAAUUAUGAAGAAGAAAGAGGCCAUCUAGCAAGCAAGUGCUGCCCCAAAUCUGCUCUUAUUUUUUGCUAACUGUCUCCUGCCUGCUUCUCCAAUGUGCGCAGCUCCUUCUGGUGCAACUGGAGCCUCCUUGUGCAGGACUUGCAGCUGCAGCUGUAAUAACAGGGCUUUCUUUUCCCCUUCAAGACUCCUGUGAAGCAGAAGACCAACUGCAGAGCCCAAUAGGCUGCAGUGUGGGAAGGGCACUGGGAUUGGGUCGCAGCCACUGUGUAUCCCUGCAGAGGGCUCCAGUGACAUAACAUGGGGCUCUUUGAGUUUAUGGAGUUUCCUCUCCCGUUACAUCUAGCCAAUAAGAUAAAUACCUUGUUUAUGAAUGGACCAGCUAAAAUAUCUGUAAAUAUAAGUGUUAUAUCAAAAAGGUGUAUAGAGAUGAUUCACACAAAAACUUAAACUAUGUGAUGCAACCACGCAUGUACUCAUCUCUCCACCCACAGAUCUGUACACACAAGAACAGAUCUGUGUGCUGUUUGAUGCAUCAUCAAGCUCACCACGCUCUUGAAUCAGAGAAAUCAUCAAGUUAUGAACCAUUACUGAUGUGGCUUUAGGUGGAAGAAGCUCUGAAGAUGCCCAGGCUGGAUGGGUUUUUGUACCCACUGUGAGCCGCAAGCACAAAGAUUCUGUCACAGCUCCUCUGGACAGAUGGGCGCUCUCAGGGUGCAGUCAGAGGAAAGGAGUAUACCACCAUCACCUGGGAAGUCUAAGGAAAUCUUGUGUGCCUCUGUGUCACAGAGACUGGCAUUGUUCUGUCACCACAUCAGUGACUGAUUAAACAGCAGAACAAAAGUGAAAAUGGUAGCAAUCCCCGCAGUGGGCUGCACACCCCGCUAUGGUCUGAUUCUGUAGAAUGUGAAGUCUGUGCUUUCGUUUGUCAAAGGCUCCGUGUGGUUUUCAGGUUUCCCUAUCUCUUGCACAAUCUCAUGGCAGCUGCAUGAUUCUAUGUGGAAGAAAAAUUUUUUAAAAUGGCAUUUUAAUUUGUUCACAAAGGUCCAGAUAAGCCUUAAAUAUUCACAGGUGUGUGUGUCUGGGCUUAUCAGACUCAGCUCUCUUGCGUCUCAUGGGGGCAAAUGAGUACCUCUGUGGCAGACAGAUAUUUCUUCAGGUAAGUGUCUGUAUUACGUGGAUGGAUCAAGAAAAGAUGGAAUAUUGCACUCUGUGACACAGACACAUAGGAUCAAAAGCCAAGAACACAGAGGGAAAUAAAAUGGCAUAUAGCUAAAAAUUCUUUACUACUGACUGCGAAAUAAAUCCCUCUUGCUUU
rnacentral:lncRNA from 7 species